AAAUAUCAAAAACUAUCGUGAAAAAACAUAGCACAUGCACUUACAUUCACAACACCCUAACUGCUCAUCUGUCCAAUAAGUCCUCCGCGUCCAAUCUCUACCCUCUCGAUGCCUCGAACUUCGAAGCCAAUCAACGUUUCGUUAAUUUCUUCUUAUACGGGUCUAUAAAUUCUCUACAGACGCUCCCGAUCUUCUUAGAAAAAUAUCCGUUACAAUUUCUUCGUAUCCUGCCCGUAAGAUACGUACUUAACCUGAUU